CGGUUGGUCCUGCCGGACCCUACUGCUAUCGGGGUGGGACUAAAACAUGCAAGUCGAGCGUCUCUCAAGCUAUUGUGAAGACGCGGCGUACGGCUCAGUAACACGUGGCUAACCUACCCUUAGGACGGGGACAACCCCGGGAAACUGGGGCUAAUCCCCGAUAGGUGAGGAAGCCUGGAAUGGUUCCUCACCCAAGGAACGUUGAAACCAUGCUUUUCAGCGUUGCCUAAGGAUGGAGCCGCGGCCGAUCAGGUUGUUGGUGAGGUAACGGCUCACCAAGCCUAUAACCGGUACGGGCCAUGAGAGUGGGAGCCCGGAGGUGGGCACUGAGACAAGGGCCCAGGCCCUACGGGGCGCAGCAGUUGCGAAACCUCCACAAUGCACGAAAGUGCGAUGGGGCUACCCCGAGUGCCGUCCGCUGAGGACGGCUUUUCCCCGCUGUAAGGAGGCGGAGGAAUAAGGAGAGGGCAAGACUGGUGUCAGCCGCCGCGGUAAUACCAGCUCUCCGAGUGGUAGGGACGAUUAUUGGGCCUAAAGCGUCCGUAGCCGGCCUGACAAGUCUCCCGUUAAAUCCAGCGACCUAAUCGCUGGGCUGCGGGAGAUACUGUCAGGCUUGGGAGCGGAAGAGGCCGACGGUAUUCCCGGGGUAGGGGUGAAAUCCUGUAAUCCCGGGAGGACCACCAGUGGCGAAGGCUGUCGGCUAGAACGCGUCCGACGGUGAGGGACGAAAGCUGGGGGAGCGAACCGGAUUAGAUACCCGGGUAGUCCCAGCUGUAAACUAUGCGGGCUAGGUGUCGGGGUGGCUACGAGCCACCCCGGUGCCGCAGGGAAGCCCAUAAGCCCGCCGCCUGGGAAGUACGGCCGCAAGGCUGAAACUUAAAGGAAUUGGCGGGGGAGCAC
rnacentral:rRNA from 1 species